rnacentral:rRNA from 1 species
UUUCUGGUUGAUCCUGCCGGAGGCGACCGCUAUUGGAGUUCGAUUAAGCCAUGCGAGUCUAGAGGCUUAGGCCUCGGCGUACCGCUCAGUAACACGUGGAUAACCUGCCCUGUUCAGGGGGAUAACCUCGCGAAAGUGAGAAUAAUACCCCAUAGUUCACCAUGCCUGGAACGGUUGGUGGAUGAAAGCUCAGGCGGAACAGGAUGGGUCUGCGGCGUAUCAGGUAGUAGGGGGUGUAAUGGACCUCCUAGCCAUCGACGCGUACGGGUUGUGGGAGCAAUCGCCCGGAGAUGGAUUCUGAGACACGAAUCCAGACCCUACGGGGUGCAGCAGGCGCGAAAACUUGACAAUGCGAGAAAUCGUGAUCAGGGAACUCCAAUUGUCUCCGUUUUUACGGAGUUCUGAAUUGACUCUAAACAGGUCGAGUAAUAGGGGCGGGAAAUAUCGGUGCCAGCCGCCGCGGUAAUACCGAAGCCCCAAGUGGUCGUCGUUCUUAUUGGGCCUAAAACGUCCGUAGCCGGUUUGGUACAUUCGUGGGUAAAUCAGACAGCUUAACUGUCUGAAUUCUGCGAGCACGGCCAAACUUGAGACCGGGAGAGGUGUAGGGUACCUGCGGGGUAGGGGUAAAAUCCUGUCAUCCCGUAGGGACCACCAGUUGCGAAGGCUCUACACUAGAACGGAUCUGACGGUCAGGGACGAAGCCUAGGGGCACGAACCGGAUUAGAUACCCGGGUAGUCCUAGGUGUAAACGCUGUGGACUUUGUGUCGGGGAUUCUUCGAGGAUUCUCGGUGCCGGAGUGAAGAUGUUAAGUCCACUGCCUGGGGAGUACGGUCGCAAGGCUGAAACUUAAAGGAAUUGGCGGGGGAGCACUGCAACGAGAGGAGCGUGCGGUUUAAUUAGAUUCAACGCCGGG